AUGUCCCGCUUGAAAUUUGGUGUCAUUACCCUAAUCCCCAAAAUAGUUGGGGCGACAGAUAUCCGACACUUUGGGCCGAUCAGGGUGAUCAAUGUUCUUCAACGAAUCGUAUGUAAUGUGUGUGCGACGCAGUUUGCCCUCGUGGUGGAACGCCAGUUCGCUUUUCUGAAGGGGCGUCCUAUACAUGGCGGAAUUUUGGCUCUUCAUGAAAUUGUUCAUAUGGAGUGCCAGAAAGGCGUAUUCCUUAAUCUCAACUUCCAAAAGGCAUAUGAUCGCCUUGACUGGUCCUUCCUCCGCCUAGCCUCAGAGUGGAGGUGGUUCAAUGACCAUUGGUGUUGUUGGAACAUGCAGUUGAUCAUGAGCGGUAGCACAACACUUAACAUCAAAAGGGAGGUGGGCCUAUCCCUCCCCCUUCCUCUUCAACCUUGUAGUUGA
rnacentral:rRNA from 1 species